AUGUCUUUCCUAUAUAGAAGUAGAAUAGUUCCUGCUGUAGUGGAAUAUGUUCUCAGUGGCCACCAUUUCAAACUGUUGAUUCCCAAAGAAACUUGUAGUAGUGCUUUUGCAUUCUCUGGUGUCCGAUGUCCUGGUUGUGAAGAGCCAUAUUUUGAUGAAGUAAUUGCACUGAUGAGGCGGAGGAUAAUGUGA